UACAGAGGGUGCAAGCGUUAUUCGGAAUUACUGGGCGUAAAGCGUGCGUAGACGGUUACAUAAGUCGGGUGUGAAAGCCCCGGGCUCAACCUGGGAAUUGCAUUCGAGACUGCGUAGCUAGGGUGCGGAAGAGGGAAGCGGAAUUUCCGGUGUAGCGGUGAAAUGCGUAGAUAUCGGAAGGAACACCAGUGGCGAAAGCGGCUUCCUGGUCCAGCACCGACGUUCAGGCACGAAAGCGUGGGGAGCAAACAGG
rnacentral:rRNA from 1 species